rnacentral:tRNA from 1 species
GGGGUUGUGGCUCAGCAGUAGAGCACUCGCCUUGCAAGUGCGAGAUCCUGGGUUCGAUCCUCAGCACCA